rnacentral:rRNA from 1 species
AUUGAACGCUGGCGGCAUGCUUUACACAUGCAAGUCGAACGGCAGCGCGGGCUUCGGCCUGGCGGCGAGUGGCGAACGGGUGAGUAAUACAUUGGAACGUGCCCAGUAGUGGGGGAUAGCUCGGCGAAAGCCGGAUUAAUACCGCAUACGACCUGAGGGUGAAAGCGGGGGAUCUUCGGACCUCGCGCUAUUGGAGCGGCCGAUGGCAGAUUAGCUAGUUGGUGGGGUAAAGGCCUACCAAGGCGACGAUCUGUAGCUGGUCUGAGAGGACGACCAGCCACACUGGGACUGAGACACGGCCCAGACUCCUACGGGAGGCAGCAGUGGGGAAUUUUGGACAAAGGGCGAAAGCCUGAUCCAGCAAUGCCGCGUGUGUGAUGAAGGCCUUCGGGUUGUAAAGCACUUUUGGCGGGAACGAAAAGGACUGUGCCAAUACCACGGUUCGAUGACGGUACCCGCAGAAUAAGCACCGGCUAACUACGUG